rnacentral:rRNA from 1 species
GUUAACGCUAAUACCGCAUAUUCUGUGAGCAGGAAAGCAGAAGAUCGCAAGACCUUGCGCUGAUUGAGCGGCCGAUAUCAGAUUAGCUAGUUGGUGAGGUAAAGGCUCACCAAGGCGACGAUCUGUAGCGGGUCUGAGAGGAUGAUCCGCCACACUGGAACUGAGACACGGUCCAGACUCCUACGGGAGGCAGCAGUGGGGAAUUUUGGACAAUGGGCGCAAGCCUGAUCCAGCCAUGCCGCGUGAGUGAAGAAGGCCUUCGGGUUGUAAAGCUCUUUCGGCCGGGAAGAAAUCGCACAGGUUAAUACCCUGUGUGGAUGACGGUACCGGAAUAAGAAGCACCGGCUAACUACGUG